rnacentral:rRNA from 1 species
GACGAACCGUGCGAACGUUGUUCGGAUUCACUGGGCUUAAAGGGCGCGUAGGCGGGCGGGCCAGUCCGGGGUGAAAGCCCCCGGCUCAACCGGGGAACGGCCUUGGAUACUGCCUGGCUCGAGUGUGGGAGAGGAAAGCGGAAUUCCUGGUGUAGCGGUGAAAUGCGUAGAUAUCAGGAGGAACACCUGCGGUGUAGACGGCUUUCUGGACCAUAACUGACGCUGAGAUACGAAAGCGUGGGUAGCAAACAGG